UUUUCUCCAUUUUAUCCAGACUGGAAUAUUAAGUGAUCAGACAGAAGCAGUUACUUGGAAGAAACAUAUUUCUGGACUGCAGACAGAAGGAAAGCAAACUGCUUUCUCUAUUUAAUUUUUUUUUUUUUUUUUUUUUUUUGAGUUUGGCAGUUCUUUACACUUUCCUCUGGAGCAUCUUGGACUUUGGCAGUGUUUUAUGAUUUCUGAUGGGCAUCUUUUGAGAGCAAAGCAGGACAGAAAACGUGUCAAAUAUGAUCCCAAAGGCUUAGUAUAAGCUUAUCAUUUCUGUGCAGAAGAACAUGAUGGAAAUUGCACAGCCAUCCCACCAGUUCUGGCAGAACCCUUUCAACAUCUAAUCACCAGAAAAAUCAAGUCUGUUUGUCCUUCAGGCAAUUCCCCAAAGAAGAAAAUUAAGAUCAAGGGUGUUGAAGUUUCCAGAUCAUACGUAUCACAGACUAAAAUCACCAUAUGCUCAGCAUCACACAAUGCAGAUCACCUGUCCUUUGCAGCAGAGGGGCAAAGGGGCUUCUAGACCACUUCACAGGAAGGAGAUCACUGGGCUCCUCCAAUCCCCCCCAUCUGAUCUGGAGGUAAACCUCUAGUUGGUGUGCAGGUUAGCAUUUCAGAACUCCAUUUCUUGCUUU
rnacentral:lncRNA from 1 species